rnacentral:sRNA from 1 species
GCUGGGCUUGGUGGCGCAUGACUGUAAUCCCAGCGGCUCAGGAGGCUGAGGCAGGAGGAUAGCAAGUUCAAAGCCAGCCUCAGCAACUGAGCAAGACCCUGUCUCUA